rnacentral:rRNA from 1 species
GAUUAAGCAAAGAAGAGCGCAGGGUGGAUGCCUUGGCACUAAGAGCCGAAGAAAGACGUGAUAAGCUGCGAAAAGCUGCGGGGAGAUGCAAAUAAUCCUUGAUCCGCAGAUGUCUGAAUGGGGAAACCCGGUACGAAGAACUCGUAUCAUCCAUACGCCAAUCCAUAACGUAUGGAGGGGAACCCGGUGAACUGAAACAUCUAAGUAGCCGGAGGAAGAGAAAGAAACAUCGAUUUUGUUAGUAGCGGCGAGCGAAAGCGAAAGAGGCCAAACCGGAGUGCGUGCACUCCGGGGUUCGGACCGCAUUUAAGAUUCAGUGAUUCUAGCAGAAAGGUUUGGGAAAGCCUGCCGGAGAGGGUGAAAGCCCCGUAAGCGAAAGGAAAACUGACUGAGCGGAAUCCAGAGUACAUCGAGACACGAGAAACCUUGAUGGAAUGAGCGGGGACCACCCCGUAAGCCUAAAUACUACUUAGUGACCGAUAGCGCAUAGUACUGUGAAGGAAAGGUGAAAAGGACCCCGGGAGGGGAGUGAAAGAGAACCUGAAACCCUGUGUUUACAAGCUGUGGAAGUUCUUUAUACGAACAACCGCGUACUUUUUGUAGAACGGUCCGGCGAGUUGCGGAUACUGGCAAGGUUAAGCACUUAAGGUGCGGAGCCGAAGGGAUACCAAGUCUUAACAGGGCGUUAAGUCAGUAUACGCAGACCCGAAACCGGGUGAUCUAUCCAUGUCCAGGUUGAAGUUGUCGUAAAAGACAAUGGAGGACCGAAGCCACAUCCGUUGAAAAGGGUGGGCAUGAGGUGUGGAUAGGGGAGAAAUUCCAAUCGAACCCGGAGAUAGCUGGUUCUCCUCGAAAUAGCUUUAGGGCUAGCCUCGAUUUAGUCUUAUGGAGGUAGAGCACUGAAUUUCCGCGGGGGCGUCAAAGCUUACCAAAGAAUAUCAAACUCCGAAUGCCAUGUAGAUGAUGAUCGGGAGUCAGACUGCACGAGAUAAGUUGGGCAGUCAAAAGGGAAAGAGCCCAGACCACCGGCUAAGGUCCCAAAGUGCGUGUUAAGUGGAAAAGGAUGUGGGAAUUCGAAGACAACUAGGAUGUUGGCUCAGAAGCAGCCAUACAUUCAAAGAGUGCGUAACAGCUCACUAGUCGAGAGUUCCUGCGCCGAAAAUGUCCGGGGCUGAAACACGACACCGAAGCCGUGGACUCGCAAUGCGAGUGGUAGAGGAGCAUUCUUAAAACCGACGAAGCUGUACCGAAAGGAGCAGUGGAGGGAUAAGAAGAGAGAAUGCCGGAAUGAGUAGCGAGAGAAAGGUGGGAAUCCUUUCGGCCGAAUAUCUAAGGUUUCCAGAGUAAAGCUGAUCUGCUCUGGGUAAGUCGGGGCCUAAGCACAGGUCGCAAGACGUAAGCGAUGGAUAACAGGUUUAGAUUCCUGUACCACGCAUUAUCAGAACUGUAGGGACGCAUGUGGAAAGCACG